ACACGACUACAUUAGAUACCCCCGUAGUCCUAGCCGUAAACGAUACUCGCUAGGUGUCGGCCACGGUGCGACCGUUGUCGGUGCCGUAGGGAAGCCGUGAAGCGAGCCACCUGGGAAGUACGGCCGCAAGGCUGAAACUUAAAGGAAUUGGCGGGGGAGCACCACAACGGGUGGAGCUUGUGGUUUAAUUGGAUUCAACGCCGGAAAUCUUACCGGGACCGACAGCAACAUGAAGGCCAGGCUGAAGACUUUGCCGGAUUAGCUG
rnacentral:rRNA from 1 species